GGUCGAUCUGAGAACAAUGACACCGGUGCGCGCGUGCACGUGAAGAGUCCAUUUUCUUCUUUCAGUCUUUGAACGAAAACAACGUCUCCUGGUUGGAAUAUUAUCGCUAUUUUAUGAGAAAAAUCCCAUAAAAAUUGAUUUUAAACAGCGUUUGACAUGCUUCGAAGUACGGUAAUGGAAUAUUUUGAAUUUUUUGUCACGACAUGCGUCCGCGCGUCACAGUUCAGAUAGGGACCUGAACGCACGGACAAAAUAGAGGAUAUUUGAACACAACUAAGGAUUAUUUUGAACCAAAACAAAAUUUGUGGUUGAAGUAGAAGUCCUGGGAGUGCAUUCUGACGAAGAACAGCAAAGAUUUACCGGAAAAGAUGUCCUCAUUCGCUUAGUCCAAAAUGCGGAAUGCUAUUGACGGUUUGGCUAUGCGAUUUCUGGGAAAGAUGUGCAUAUACACUGCGUGCACAAUUAUUAGGACCUGAGCCCUAGGACCAUGCCUCAGGACUACCUGGCUUGAUGACUCCUUGCUGUCCCCAGUUCACCUGGCCGUGCUGCUGCUCCAGUUCCAACUGUUCUGCCUGCAGCUAUGGAACCCUGACCUGUUCACCGGACGUGCUACCUGUCCCAGACCUGCUGUCCCAGACCUGCUGGAACCCUGACCUAUUCACCGGAUGUGCUACCUGUCCCAGACCUGCUGUUUUCAACUCUCUAGAGACAGCAGGAGCGGUAGAGAUACUGUCAAAGAUCGGCUAUGAAAAAGCCAACUGACACUUAC
rnacentral:lncRNA from 1 species